UCUUCCUGGGGGAUGGAUGUCUGGGACCCUGGCCGCGGCUUCUCGCUGCUGGCUUCCAUCCCUCCUUCCCUCCUCCUUUUCCGGCCCCCUUUUGGGGACAGAAUUCCAAUUGAGGGCCGCGGCUGCUGCUUGGGAGAGGACGCUGCGCUCCGCCUCCAACAGGAGAAGCAGGGAUGCGGGGGCUUCUGUGGGCUCCGUGCUCCCAGCCUCCGGAGGGGAGAGGGAGACCCGUGAGCGCAGAGUGAGCUUGUUCCUCUGGCCUGCCUCCCGGGAGGCACCUAGGGGAAGGGAGACUUCUGCGGGGAGCAAGGGGCUGGGGACAUGGAGAAAGUUUUCAGCCUUUUUUUUUUUUUCUUUUCUUUCCUUUUUUUUUCUUUAAGGAGCUGCUGGGGUCUUCUACUCCAGAUGCUGUGUUGGUAUGGAGAAAACAAGAUGAAUGAAAUACAUGUCCUACUAUUGAUACCUCAAGGCUCCAGGGAUGUGAAGGCAGCAACAGGCAAACGGGUCUCCAUGUCACAGUUCUGAUGGCAACCUCCUAAUCUCAGCUGUGCCCAGCUGGAAACCAUUGAGUAUAAUGUCUGCUACAUUCUGCCCCCUAGUCACCAACCAUUGCCUAUGCUAUGCUCUGUCAACCCCUUCUUUUCCUGGAGUCAGUAUCCUGCUGUCCGGACAUGCUUCCUUCUCAUAUGUGCAGAGAUGGAUCCUAGAGUAGAUCUCAUUACCGUUCCUCCACAUAAACCCAUUCACCACUCCUACACCUCCAUAUUGGAUUGGAGGCUCACAAGCAUGGCAUGGCAGGGCGCCGUGGUACAGCCCCACACACCUCAGUUUGCUUCUCCCAUCUGCUCUGCCACCUUCUGCACUGUGACCUUGGAGAAACUGCCUAAAUGUUUCUGAACUUUCAGUUCCCUCCUAAGCAAUGGUGGGGCUUUGGAAUGGCAACAGAAAGAAGAAAAAGUUAUGAAGCGUUUGUACAGUUUAGACACCUAGCAAUUAACGCGCUCUUGAUGAACGCUGGGAGAAAGUGCUUUGUUGAUGCUAGUGUUCUCUUCCAGGCGGGGAACCAUUUAAAGCUCUCAAAGAUGUUAUUUGCCUCAGGCACUGCAGAUCUGAAAGGCUAAGGUCAAACACAACUCACCUUCUCUUCUGCUUCCUGUUCACAGCCCAAAGAUGACCUUGGGGGUCUUCUUGACUGUUGAAAACAGGCGAGGCACUUUAGGGUAGAUGGGAAAACCAGAGGAUAAAGACCCUAAAGAUGGCUUUCUUUGUAAGUCACCGGGCUCUGUCUUGUGGAUUUGUCAAACGCCAAGAGCACCAUUGGACCCACUUUGCAGAAGAACCUGAAGACAGAGAGAAGGGCUACGUGGCUCAUGGUACCCACCACUGAAAACUAGAACAGUCACAGUCAAACUCUCAGAAGUCUGAGCUAGAAGAUACGGUCCACAGACCUGCAUCCGACACCAGUGCAGACCAUCACAGUGCUAGCUCUGAGCGAAGGGUCAGAGAUGGACAGUGUUUUUCAAGAGAUACCACUGUACCAUUCUCUGUCAUAGCUGCACGAUGGUUAAGAAAAUGUUCCUGCAGAGCUCUUCUUAAGGGCCCUCUUUAGCUGGUAAAACUGCAGAAGCUUGUUCGCAAGAGUGGACCCAUGGGACUCGGCUGCAAAUCAGCUGCCCCUGGGAUAGGCUUAUUUGCUGUGUGGCCUUCAGGAACUCCUGGAACAUCUCUGUGUUAUUUGUGCUAACUCAUUCCUGGAGUUUCCCUUUGCUGGUCCUGCUGCUGCUGCAAUUUGACACUAGCCUUGACCAAACCAUAAAUGCUCAGUUAAUGGGAUAAAAAUGAGCUGAAAUCUGGGAUUCUGGUCAUUAACCCCAUGUCCCCAUCUACUGGAGUAAGAUGAGGGCAGGGGCAGGGGCACUGAGGAUCACUUGGUACUUGUCAGACAAACAGAUCCCUGCCAUCUUCUCUUCCCAGGCCACUUCCAUAGUUUGAGGGUCUGUGGGGCUGAGGCUCAGUGAGGCCGGAUGCCUGUGUUGGUGGUGAAAGGCAGCUUCAGACCCCACCCAAGACCUGCUGUACUGGGCCCGAUAGAGCCUCUUCCUAUUUGCCAGCCCUGCUGAACUGCUCUGUGGCAUUUCAUGCUGCAUUUCCCUCUGUCUGGAAGGAGCCUGCCAGCCUGUUUCCUCUCUGCCACCUCCCAGAGGAGCCUUGGCUGGCUGCCCCACCUCCAUCUCCACCUCCACUCCCUGUCUUCCCCUCUUCUGGGCUACUAAUGUUUCCUGAUUGGAUUUAUCCUUGUGACGUAUCUGGUAUUCUUACUAGAGUGUGAAUUCCUACCCUGUGUCCUUAUGAGAACUGACAACCUGCCUGGAUGGUUAGGGGCUGCAUCUUGCAGGGGGUUAUAGGAAUUUAUGAAUCACUAGACAUAUGACUGAAUUUGUUCAUCUUUGCUGCCAAAGCUAUAGACACAGGGACUCUUCUAUCCGUAGGGACCUGGGGCCUGUCCUGAGGAAGGUUAAGGGUUCCCCUGCCCCGACUCUGUCCCUUACUAGACAUGCCCCAGUUCCAUACUGGAACCACCUGAUGUCAGGCCCUGCAGACCAGCUAUCUCUUCUUUCCUUGUCUGUGCACGUGGGUGUAGGUGAGUAAUGGGGCUAGAGAGGAACUGGAGAUGCCCGUCUGCCCCUCGGGGAGCAAUUUCAUCUUCUCUGCACCCCAUACGUGUGAACGGACAGCCAAGGUUUCUCACAAGCUCCUCUCCACCCCUCCGCAUACCUUAGCCCCAGGAUAGUGACAGCGAAAAUGAACCACAUAAACAGUAGGUAUUCAAUAAAUGCCAGCCACUGCGAAAACAGCGGUGAGAUUCACAACUUCAAAUUGUGCCUUGCCCUUCUGGCAAUUUUCGAAUAAUAAAAAAAAAAAUCAGUUUAUAAUGCAUCCUUGCCUUGUAGUAUGGA